AUUGAACGCUGGCGGAAUGUUUUACACAUGCAAGUCGAGCGGCAGCGCGGGGCAACCUGGCGGCGAGCGGCGAACGGGUGAGUAACACAUCGGAACGUACCCAGUUGUGGGGGAUAACACAUCGAAAGAUGUGCUAAUACCGCAUACGACCUGAGGGUGAAAGGGGGGGAUCGCAAGACCUCUCGCAGUUGGAGCGGCCGAUGGCGGAUUAGCUAGUUGGUGGAGUAAAGGCCUACCAAGGCGACGAUCCGUAGCUGGUCUGAGAGGACGACCAGGCACACUGGAACUGAGACACGGUCCAGACUCCUACGGGAGGCAGCAGUGGGGAAUUUUGGACAAUGGGCGCAAGCCUGAUCCAGCAAUGCGGCGUGCAGGAAGAAGGCCUUCGGGUUGUAAACUGCUUUUGUACGGAGCGAAAAGGCUCUCUCUAAUACAGGGGGCUGAUGACGGUACCGUAAGAAUAAGCACCGGCUAACUACGUGCCAGCCGCCGCUGUAACAC
rnacentral:rRNA from 1 species